UACGUAGGGUGCGAGCGUUGUCCGGAAUUACUGGGCGUAAAGAGCUCGUAGGUGGUUUGUCGCGUUGUUCAUGAAAACUCACAGCUUAACUGUGGGCGUGCGGGCGAUACGGGCAGACUGGAGUACUGCAGGGGAGACUGGAAUUCCUGGUGUAGCGGUGGAAUGCGCAGAUAUCAGGAGGAACACCGGUGGCGAAGGCGGGUCUCUGGGCAGUAACUGACGCUGAGGAGCGAAAGCGUGGGGAGCGAACAGG
rnacentral:rRNA from 1 species